GACGUAGGGCGCGAGCGCUGUCCGGAUUUAUUGGGCGUAAAGAGCUCGUAGGCGGCUUGUCGCGUCGUCCGUGAAAACCUGCGGCUCAACUGCAGGCUGGCGGUCGAUACGGGCAGGCUGGAGUUCGGUAGGGGAGACUGGAAUUCCUGGUGUAGCGGUGAAAUGCGUUGAUAUCAGAAGGAACGCCGGUGGCGAAAGCGGCGAACUGGACCUCUUCUGACGCUGAGGCGCGAAAGCUAGGGGAGCAAACGGG
rnacentral:rRNA from 1 species